rnacentral:rRNA from 1 species
GAUGAACGCUGGCGGCGUGCUUAAUACAUGCAAGUCGAACGAAGUCAGUAGCAAUAUUGGCUGAGUGGCGAACGGGUGAGUAACGCGUUGGUGACCUGCCCCGAAGAGAGGGAUAACAGUCCGAAAGGAUUGCUAAUACCCCAUGUGGUCGUUUGGAUUAGAUGCCUUACGACUAAACGGAUUUAUUCGCUUCGGGAGGGGCCUGCGUCCCAUCAGCUAGUUGGUAGGGUAAUGGCCUACCAAGGCGAUGACGGGUAGGGGACCUGAGAGGGUGGCCCCCCACAAUGGAACUGAAACACGGUCCAUACACCUACGGGUGGCAG